UUGAUGGAGAGUUUGAUCCUGGCUCAGGACGAACGCUGGCGGCGGGCCUUAUGCAUGCAAGUCGAACGCACUCGACCUUCGGGUCAUAUGAGUGAGUGGCGAACGGGUGAGUAACACGUGAGAAACCUGCCCCGAAGACUGGAAUAACCCGGGGAAACUCGGGCUAAUACCGGAUACCCCCAACUAAUCGCAUGGUUAGUUGAGGAAAUGCUCCGGCGCUUCGGGAGGGUCUCGCGGCCUAUCAGCUAGUUGGUGAGGUAACGGCUCACCAAGGCAACGACGGGUAGCUGGUCUGAGAG
rnacentral:ncRNA from 1 species